rnacentral:lncRNA from 1 species
CACCCCUCAACAAAGCGAUGGCACGCUCCUUCGCAUGCCAUGCUUUCAUAUAAUUUAUAUCCACACCAUAUACAGCUUUCAUUUCUUCAAUGAUGUCUCCGGGUGUGUGCCUUCUCUUAUAGUUAACUAGUUUUGGAGCUAUGAAUUCACAUACAAAAGAAGUUGUCGCAAAAAUAUUCUGCAGCACCUUAUCCCUCAAAUUGCAUGUAUGUUCUGGAUUAAAUUUCCAAAUCAUAAAAACAACUAUUUUUUUGUAAUUAGAUGCUUCCAACUUCCACGUACAUUCCUCAUUGUAACAAAGGAGUACAUAGCUGAAACAUAAAAAACACUAUUCAAAUGAAUAUAUUUUGCAUC